rnacentral:rRNA from 1 species
GAGUUUGAUCCUGGCUCAGAACGUACGCUGGCGGCACGCCUAACACAUGCAAGUCGAACGAAGUAGCAAUACUUAGUGGCAGACGGGUGAGUAACAUGUAGGUAUCUGCCCUUUGGCCUGGAAUAACACGAGGAAACUUGUGCUAAUACCGGAUAAGUCUUUACGGAGAAAGCUUUAUGCACCAUUGGAUGAGCCUGCACUUGAUUAGUUUGUUGGUGGGGUAAUGGCCUACCAAGACUGUGAUCAAUAGCUGAUUUGAGAGGAUGAUCAGCCACAUUGGGACUGAGACACGGCCCAAACUCCUACGGGAGGCAGCAGUGGGGAAUCUUGCACAAUGGAGGAAACUCUGAUGCAGCGAUGCCGCGUGAGUGAAGAAGGCCCUUGGGUUGUAAAGCUCUUUCGUCGGGGAAGAAAAUGACUGUACCCGAAUAAGAAGGUCCGGCUAACUUCGUGCCAGCAGCCGCGGUAAUACGAAGGGACCUAGCGUAGUUCGGAAUUACUGGGCUUAAAGAGUUCGUAGGUGGUUGAAAAAGUUAGUGGUGAAAUCCCAGAGCUUAACUCUGGAACUGCCAUUAAAACUUUUCAGCUAGAGUAUGAUAGAGGAAAGCAGAAUUUCUAGUGUAGAGGUGAAAUUCGUAGAUAUUAGAAAGAAUACCAAUUGCGAAGGCAGCUUUCUGGAUCAUUACUGACACUGAGGAACGAAAGCAUGGGUAGCGAAGAGGAUUAGAUACCCUCGUAGUCCAUGCCGUAAACGAUGUGUGUUAGACGUUGGAAAUUUAUUUUCAGUGUCGCAGGGAAACCGAUAAACACACCGCCUGGGGAGUACGACCGCAAGGUUAAAACUCAAAUGAAUUGACGGGGACCCGCACAAGUAGUGGAGCAUGUGGUUUAAUUCGAAGAUACGCGCAGAACCUUACCAACACUUGACAUGUUCGUCGCGACUCUAAGAGAUUAGAGUUUUCGGUUCGGCCGGACGAAACACAGGUGCUGCAUGGCUGUCGUCAGCUCGUGUCGUGAGAUGUUGGGUUAAGUCCCGCAACGAGCGCAACCCUCACUUUUAGUUGCCAUCAUUAAGUUGGGCACUCUGAAAGAACUGCCAGUGAUAAGCUGGAGGAAGGUGGGGAUGACGUCAAGUCCUCAUGGCCCUUACGUGUUGGGCUACACACGUGCUACAAUGGUAUCUACAACAGGAAGCAAGACUGCGAAGUUAAGCAAAUCCCUAAAAGAUACCUCAGUUCGGAUUGCACUCUGCAACUCGAGUGCAUGAAGCUGGAAUUACUAGUAAUCGUGGAUCAGCGUGCCACGGUGAAUGCGUUCCCGGGUCUUGUACACACCGCCCGUCACACCAUGGGAGUUGGUUCUACCUUAAGGCAAGGUUUCAAACCCUUGACCACGGUAUAGUCAGCGAAUGGGGUGAAGUCGUAACAAGGUAACC